rnacentral:rRNA from 1 species
UACAGAGGGUGCGAGCGUUAUUCGGAUUUACUGGGCGUAAAGCGUGCGUAGGUGGUUUGAUAAGUCUGAUGUGAAAUCCCACGGCUCAACCGUGGACGUGCAUUGGAUACUGUCAAACUAGAGUACAGGAGGGGUGAGCGGAAUUCCAGGUGGAGAGGUGAAAUUCGUAGAUAUCUGGAGGAACAACGGAGGCGAAGGCGGCUCACUGGACUGUAACUGACACUCUGGCACGAAAGCGUGGGGAUCGAACAGG